rnacentral:rRNA from 1 species
UACGGGGGGGGCAAGCGUUGUUCGGAAUUACUGGGCGUAAAGGGCUCGUAGGCGGCCAACUAAGUCGGAUGUGAAAUCCCCAGGCUCAACCUGGGAACUGCAUCCGAUACUGGAUGGCUUGAAUCCGGGAGAGGGAUGCAGAAUUCCAGGUGUAGCGGUGAAAUGCGUAGAUAUCUGGAGGAACACCGGUGGCGAAGGCGGCAUCCUGGACCGGUAUUGACGCUGAGGCGCGAAAGCCAGGGGAGCAAACGGG